GCAAGUGGACUGAGGUGGUAUCAUCACAUUGGUCAACGUUUUCCCCCAGAGUGACUCAGCCAUGAGAAAUAUAUUUUUUAAUGCCAUCAGAUGAUGAACGUUUUGGCAACAUUUUCCUGAACAUUCAUUCAACAAGGUCACUGUGAAGGAAGGAGAGUACACAGGCCGAGUGCUGGAAGAAGAGGCCAUACAGUCUGUCACUCUGGACUCAGGCCCAGGGUCAGAUGGGAGACCAUGUGUGUGUGUCAUAAGUCUUGGGCAGUGACCGCUGGGGCCUCUCUUCCCGCUGCUUCCUGCUCUCCACACUUGCCCCUGAGGCCUGCGAUUGGGGAGGCUCCCCACCACCGCACAACCCUUCACUUUGAUGCAUCUGUGCGAAUAGCUGUACUGUACACGUGCAGUAAGAUAGCAAGGGUCUGGGCAGAUGGUCCUGUGAGCCUGCUGGAACAGAGGAGCCUGGGAGCCUGGGAGUGUGGCUCCUACAAACCUGCUUCCCCUGUGUUUCUUGGUCUACCAGGAGGCUGGCCAGGAGCACUUCCUUACCGCGGAGGUCAGGCAGGCUGCCUUGCCAUCCUUAGGUUAUCACUGCAGGCCAUUUGUCAUUAUAUGACCACUCUUGCUCCCAUGUGACCCUGUGCAAGGGCUGGAGUGCUGGCACCUUAGACACCCUGGCUUUCCGUGCCUGU
rnacentral:lncRNA from 12 species